GCAUUGCUGAAGAGUCCCACAAUAGGACGAAACGGCCGUCCAAUGU
rnacentral:hammerhead_ribozyme from 1 species